rnacentral:rRNA from 1 species
CCAGACUCCUACGGGAGGCAGCAGUGGGGGAUAUUGCACAAUGGGGGAAACCCUGAUGCAGCGACGCCGCGUGAGUGAAGACGGCCUUCGGGUUGUAAAGCUCUGUCAAUCGGGACGAAGAAGAUGACGGUACCGAUGAAGGAAGCUCCGGCUAACUACGUGCCAGCAGCCGCGGUAAUACGUAGGGGGCAAGCGUUAUCCGGAUUUACUGGGUGUAAAGGGAGCGUAGACGGCAAUGCAAGUCUGGAGUGAAAGGCGGGGGCCCAACCCCCGGACUGCUCUGGAAACUGUAUAGCUGGAGUGCAGGAGAGGUAAGUGGAAUUCCUAGUGUAGCGGUGAAAUGCGUAGAUAUUAGGAGGAACACCAGUGGCGAAGGCGGCUUACUGGACUGUAACUGACGUUGAGGCUCGAAAGCGUGGGGAGCAAACAGGAUUAGAUACCCCGGUAA